rnacentral:lncRNA from 1 species
GUAUGCCCUGGUCAUGUUUCCCAUCCUUCUGGUUUGUUCUUUACUGAUACUUUCUGAAUAUCAUCUCUUGUAAUUUAUGUGGGCUGGGGGUCUAGAUGAAGGUGGAGUGCAGUUUAAAUAUUGAAGUAGCAUCCUCCAUACACCCCCCUUUUGGGCUGAUUGUUACCACCCAGUAUAAAGGGAUAAUUCUGGUGCUAACUGUUCUUGAUGAUUAUUGGAAAAGGAAGGAAUUGCUUACUCUCUGGCUGAGUUGUGGCUCUCGCUCCAGCAUCUGUGUGGAAGCAUGCCUGGUUUUUCCAUCUCUCAGCACUGGUCCUUGGGGCCUUUGAACAGCGAUGUAAUGUUUUAUGGCUGGGCCAUUCUAUGAACACUUGCCACAGGAGGCUAUUGGGCAACUGACUAUGGAGAAACUGGACUUUCAAUUUUAUUAAAUAUUCAUUAAGUUAUAUUAAAUGGACACAAAGAGUAGUGGCUACAAUAUGAGACAACACAGCUAGAUAUCUGUAUAUGUUCUUAACUCUGACUUACUUCAUUCUUCCAGAAAGAGGUCUGCAUGACCUGUGGAGGCAGUCACAGCCAGCUCCUUGUACACAGGCUCACUUUGGCUCUCCUUGUAUCUUGUGCAAAUUCUAACUGCUUCAUCUCCAUGUCCAGAUCAGCAGUGGAGGUUCUUGAGAAAAGUCAUGGCUUCAGCUACUGGCACCAACAAGGUGAAAGAGAUCGCCACCUGCUCCAUCUGCCUGAACCUCAUUAUGCACCCAGUAAGCAUCACCUGUGGACACAGCAACAGUCAGUGUGGUUUGAAGCUGCACCUCUGCCAGAUGUCCCAAAAGCAGGGUCAAAAGAGAUUUCCCCGUCCUGAAUGUCGGGAGCCUUUUCAUAAAGAUAGGCUGUGUUCCAACAGGCUACUGGGAACUCUCACUGAAGUUAUACAGGAAAUGGAGGAGACAGAGGAUGAGCUGCUGUGAGGCCCAUGGACAGCAGCUCCAGCUCUUCUGUAAAGAUGACAACCAGCUCAUCAGCUGGCACUGUGAGCGGGGACCACAGCACCAAGGCAUGCCCUGGUGCUGGUAGAGGAUGUGUGCCAGGGGUACAAGGUGAGUAUACAUCCGGGCCUCAGCAGGGACCCACCCUGUGCUGCUUGCAAGACCUGAGCUUAUUGGUCCCAAAGCUAAAAAUGAUGACCCUGAAGCACAGAGAUGGUAUUCUUUUGAAAAAUACCUUGUGAUGGGUCUUUGCUGAAUCCAUAUCUAAGUGUCCCCCUGACAUUUAGCAGGAUGCUCAAACUCCUGUCCCUAUUCUGUGUGUCAUCAUGGACUUCUCCCUGCUCUGGGACAUGCCAACCAAACACCUACCUGGGUUCUGCUUCACACUGUGUGUACUGGAAGGGGAGGAGAUUCUAGAGUUCAGAGUCUUAAUACUUCAGGAAAGUGACUUCCUGGAGCACCUGGCUUUGGUGCUGAGAGAGGAGUGGUUCAUCCCAGAGGUGGCUCCUGAGACACCUCUACUUAGCCCCUGCAGGGUGCCCAGGCACAAGGAUCUGCACAUGCAAAGGCACAGGCAUGGGGUUUCUGAUUCACCUUGGCCAGGUUAUGGGCUGUGUGCAGAGGACAGGCAGCUGGGAACAAGGGAAAGGAAGACAGGCCACAGCAUCUGAGUGGCAGCUCCCAGUCUCAAUCCUAGACCGUAGUAUAUGUAACCUGCCACAGGGGCAUUUCUACAUGCAGAGUAAAGAUUCACUACCAUUGAAAAAAUUAUCCAUGCAGUCUGAAAAUACAAGGAAUAUCCAGUUAGAAUUCAAAUGAUCCCUUCAAGAAAGGAAGCCAGAGGGAAGUUUCAAACAACAUUCUAGAGGGGUGAUAGAUUUAGGAAGUGAUGGACGUUGAAGAUGAGUGGAGACAGUGGUUUUGAAAGCUCCUAGGUAUCCACCGAGAGCUUGCAGGGGACUGGCCUGUGCAGUGGUGAAGGAAGGAGCCAGUUCUGCUUCACUGGCUCUGAGCCCUGUUAGAGCUCAAAAGCAUGGCUGAGCUUGGGCUCCUGGUUCUCUCCUUUGUGAUAGAGAGCUGAGGUCCUAUGAAAGAUCCAAUGCCUUCCUAAGGUCACAUCAGUCCUGACCUCGACUCAGCACACAGUGCUUCCUUAGACUCUAUGGAGCUUCGAAUGCCUGUAACAGGGGUGCUCCUGUUUGAGUUUCUCUGCCACCCCCAGUGGGGACAGGAGCAACACAGGAUCAUGGUUGUCAGCCUCAGAGGCAGACAGCUGAGGUUGAAAUCUUAGCUCUUGUGUUACUAGAAGGACAGUUUGAGGUAAGUUAUUAAGUGUCUUCAGGGCUUGGUUUUCCCAAGGAAUAAAAGCAUUCCCCUCCCUCCCUAACACACAUGUCCAGGGAGUGCAUGAGUUGUAAGGAUAUUAUCACAUGUAGAGCUUAGAAUAACAUGUGGCUGGUAGCCAGAGCAAGGCAGUCUCCUAAAUCAGUUUGGUUGAUAGCUUUCCUGAGAGCGUGAGAGAAUUCAUGCAUGUCCUUGUGGGGCUUACAAAAGAAGAGCCAUUGCUUUUGACGAUGAAUAAUUGGUGUUCACCUCAACUUGCUUUCAAGGAAAGUUUGAGAGAUUGCUUUGAAAGAUUGGCUAAAAUUUAACAUGGGCACUAAGACGUUUUAAAUUGGAUUCAUGAUUCUGUCUUCACUGCACUCUGGAACUCUUCAAUGGGUGUUACCUGCUUCUAAUAACUUCAGUUGUCAUCCUGCUCUUUCCUUUCUGACUCACCCACAAUACUAACAAAGUUAGAGGUCUCAAACAUCAUGGAAGUGGUUAUUUUUGGUUCAGCACAUUAAUGUAUAAGAUUUUGUUUUGAUGAUGGUCGUAUCUGUUUGUAAUUUUCCCUUGGCCCUAGUGUGGUGGGGCACAUGGCAUAGCCCCUGGUCAGCAUGGGGCAUGAGAAUGGCAGCCCAUUUGCCUACCAGGUAUUCUCCCAUGGCAGUUAUUCAACCUCUUCAGAGGCUCCUUUUCCACAGUAGAAAGGAUAUUCAAAUCCUUACUAACUGUUCAGUGUUGGUGAGGGGAUCUGUACGUCACAGCCCCUGCAGCAUGCAAGAGUCUCUCGGGCAAACCUAAGAACUCAGUUAAUAUUCACAGUUAUUUUAGUACAUCUUGGAUGCUGGAAUUUCCAUUAGGUGUCCCAGAAGAAUCAAAUUGGGUAGACUUUAUUCACCCAAUUUUUCCUUCAGGAAAAUCUAGAACAAGCUCCCAGAAAGUUGAAUCAACUCAAGAGGAAUGCGUGAAUCAAAAAUGUUUAUAACAAUCCAGAUAAUGGAAGGAUAAGACAGAGAUUCAGAGACAGAAAAAUCAAGUCUGAAUUUAAGAAUCUCCACACUUUUCUGCACAGUGAGAGGGAUUCUUAUCUGUGGAGGCUGGAGAAAGAAGAGCAGAUGCUGAUGAGCCUGAGGGAGAAUGAGGCCAACUUGGAGUGGAAGAACCAUGAACUCAAGAGCCACCUCCUGGAACUAGAGGCAAAAUGUCAGAGCUCAGCCCAGAAACUGGCGCAGGACUUGUGCUGUGAAGCUGGAAGCACCUGAGGCCUUUUCCUUGGAGGUUCAGACUGUGUUUGGUGCUGCUGAACUUUACAGGAAUAUGAAGAUGAAGUUAAUGGGUUAUCAAGCGACCUCAUCAAAAGAGAAUAGGAAGGGGAAACUAUCUCCCUAACAGACUUUCUGGAUGACAGCAGAGGCAUUGAUAGAGGAAGAAGCACUUAUGGCCUCAAAUCAAUCAGCUGGGCUGAUGAAACAGAUGACUGGGAAGAGGAUGUUUCAGCCAGAUGGCAGAGUGGGGAUGAGGAUGUGUAUGGGGUUCCUGGAACUGACCAUGUUGUCCUUGCCACCGCUCCAUGUGCUGCUCAGGAACCCAGUGUCGACUGGAGCUGUCUGCCCAAGUCUCUGCCCUACCCUGCUUUUCUUGGGAACCUUCCCAAAGAUCUGAUCAAAGAUUUGGUUAAGAACUUCUUUAGAGGAUUAAAUAUCAGGGUGGUGCAUUUACCAUGUGACCCCUGCAAUCCAAAAAGGUAGAAAGGUUUUGGUUCUGUUCAGUUUGGGAACUUGGAUUCCCUGCUCUGUGCCCUGAGUCUCAAUAAACUGUGUCUAGGCAAAAGAAUAGUUCGAGUUGGAUUAGCUGAUCAAGCAUAGCAAGACAGCACAUAGGAGCCUGACAAAACAGACACAGACUGGAGGGCCCGACCUGCCACAGACAGCUUUGAUGAUGACAGCCCACCCAGAAGCAGUGAUGAUGGCUUUGGAUGCAAGUAUCAAGACUGUUAUGAUUCAGAUAGUGGUGGGUAUCAGAAUGGCCUAUCCUGGCCUAUGAAUCCAUAUAGGAGCCGGGAUCAUUAGGGCCACCAAGGCAGCAGAGACUCUGAUAGAGACUGUGAUUCCAGAAUAGGCAAUGGCAGAAGAGCCCUCCAUAGUGAGUGCCAUAGAGAUAAUUACUACAAAGGAGGUGGAGACCAUGGUGAUGACCCAUAUGCUGACAGCUCAUGGGGCUCCAGAGAUGAUUACUAAGACAAUUCUUGGUGCAAUUGUAGAGGUCUGCCCCACAGACCCAGACUGAAUCUGAAACCUGGGAGUACUCCUAAGGAAAACGAUUCUUCCACCACCCCCUUCCAGCCCAGUCGAGCACCUUCCAUCUUUAGAGGGGUAAAGCCUGUUGACACAGCUGCUAGGGAAAGAGAAGUGGAGGAAUGGAUGCAGAAGGAGCAGGAGAGAUCUUCGUGGGGGCCAGAUAAUCCAAAACUAGAAUGGCGGUCAGGCUGGCAAAGGGAAGAAACUCAGGUAUAGGAAGGAAAAGUGAAUCACUGAAGACUGGAACCUCAGGCCCACCUGGCAAAAAUGCAUAAAGAAGAAAAAGAAGUCUCUAGAAAAUCAAAUACUCGGUAAGGUGGAAGAUUGUCACUCUUCAAUUUCUAAGCUUCCCCAAAGGUGAUCAGCUUCUAAAGGUAAUGCCAGCCACCCCACCAAAGGAGAAUGGGUGGUAAAGCACCAUCCUGCUCCAUCUCAGAGCUCUGGCACAGAGCAGAAAUCUCCUAGAGAUGGUAGUGGCUUGGAAGGUAGCUCCAACUCAGCCACCUGAAGAAAGACCAAUAAGGAAAAUUGCAAAUAAAAUGGAUGGGGUGUGUAUCCAAAAAGGCUAACCUGAGAACUCCUGUCAUAAUUCAGGAGACAGAGAAAAAAAAAAUCACUAGAAGGAGGUAGAUAGGAAGGAGGGCAAAGAGAAUCAAGACUCCAGCUCUGCACUUGUGCAAAGGAAAACAGGAAAAUCCAGCCUCCAAGUUCAGUUCUGCAAGCAGGUAAGCUGCUCUCUCCAUGAGUGGUGAAGAUGGAAACGAG